CUUAGAUUCUGGAGUAAAGUAGAUGCAGGUUUGAGUCCAAGCUCUGCUAUUUAAAAAUAAUGAUGGCUCUGUUACUUAAUUUCUUGAGUCUUUUUCCUUGUUUGUAAAAGGACAAAAUAAUUUCUUCACAGUUUUCUGUAGGUAUAAAAGAGAUAAUGCUCAUAACGUUCUUGACACUUACCCAAUGACUUGACAUAUAGUAGCAAAACAUGUUCCACAAUCACAGCUAUAAAUCUUAUGGAAGGAGAUUGAAUCUCAGCUCCAAAAUUUAGAGGUGCAAAAACCAUAAUUUCAUUUUUCUAAAAAAAAAGAAAAAAGAAAACCCUUGAAAUCUAACCAGGAUAGAAGAUGUCCUACUCUGGAUUUUCGUUCUUUUUCAUUCCCUUACUGGAGCCUCAAGGGCAUUAGUAGUGCUGACAUUUCUUGAUCUUUAGCUCCCAUACCCAUCCAGGUUACCAUCACUUUGCUUACUUUGGUCUUUUAGGUUCAAUCAGUAUAUUUGAAACUUCUAAGCAGAUCAUGGGACAGAGAACACUGCGAAUGUGUCACGGGUUCCUUCUGCCUAUGAUUCAAGUAGUCAUUUUCCCUCUGGCUCUGGCCUUGAAUUCCCCCUUAGCUGUGACAACCAAAGUCUCCUUUUGUGGACCCACAGCCACCUCUGAUCCUUAUCUCCUUUCCUCCUCCUUUCUCUCCUAAGAGUUAAAGAUGUAUCUUGUUUGAGUUUGAUAGGGUUGAGAAUAUCUCACCUAAGUUUGUUAUGUACGAAAUAAUGUAUUUCUGCUUUGCAGAUAUAUUUGUACCCCAAAUUCUUGAAAUAUCUAAAUUCUUUUAAGGGUUUAAGGUUUUUGGAAAAUAAAAUCUAGAAAAACUGUCAAGCAGUUUUUUGGUUCUCCUACUUGAAGUUAAGGGCAAGGAAGAACAAGAAAAAUAUACUGAGGAAAAAGUAACAAUAGCAUUGACUUAUUAUCAAACAUUUAACCUUAUACUUCCAACUAGAUAUUUAUAUCUAUUACUAUGCAUCACAUUUAGAAUUUCACUUGGCAACAUCCUCAAAGAAUUCCAGGUCUUUAAAAAAUUUUAUUAAAGUAUAGUUGAUUUACAAUGUUGUGUUAAUUUCUCCUAUAUAGAAAAAUGAUUCAGUUAUAGAUAUAUACACUUUUUAAUAUUCUCCUCCAUAUGUUUUAUCAUAGGAUAUUGAAUAUAGCUCCCUAUGCCAUACAGUAGAACCCUGUUGUUUAUCCAUGCUCUGUAUGAGUUUGCCUCUGGUAAUCCCAAACUCCCAGUCUUUCCCUUCCUCACCUCCUCUCUCUCUUGGUAACCACAAGUCUGUUCUCUGUCUGUGAGUCUUCUUUUCUUUCAUAGAUAUGCUGAUUUGUGUCAUAGUUUAGAUUCCACAUAUAAAUGAUAUCACAUGGCAUUUGUCUUUCUCUGUCUGACUUACUUUAUUAGUAUGAUUAUGAUAUCUCUAGAUCCAUCCAUGUUACUGCAAAUAACAUUAUUUUAUUCUUUUUUAUGGCUAAGUAGUAUUCCAUUACAUAUAUCUACCACAUCUUUAUACAUUCAUCUGUCAAUAGACAUUUAGGUUGUUUCCACAUCUUCACCUUGUAAAUAGUGCUGCUGUGAACAUAGGGGUGGAUAUAUGUUUUUGAAUUAUGUUUUUGUCCAGAUAUAUGUCCAGGAGUGCAGGAUCAUAUGGCAGCUAUUUUUAGUUUUUCGAGGAACUUUGAUAUUAUUUUCCAUGAUGGCUCUACCAACUUACGUUCCUGAUAAUGGUUUAGAGGGAUUCCUUUUUUCCACACCUUCUCCACCAUUUUUCAUUUGUAGACUUAUUAAUGAUGGUCAUUCCGACCAGUAUGAGGUGUUACCUCAUUGUAGUUUUGAUUUGCAUUUCUCUGAUAAUUAGUGAUAUUGAGCAUUUUUUUUUGUGCCCAUUAGUUAUCUGUCUGUCUUCUUAGGAGAAAUGUAUAUUUAGGUCUUCUUCCCAUUUUUUUGAUUGGGUUGUUUGUUUGUUAUUGAAUUGUAUAAGCUGUUUGUAUAUUUUGGAAAUUAAGGCCUUAUUGGUUGUAUCAUUUGCAGAUAUUUUUUUCCCAGUCCAUAGCUGGUCUUUUUGUUUUGUUUAUGGUUUCCAUUGCUGUGCAAAAGUUUAUAAGUUUUAUUAUGUCCCAUUUGUUUAGUUUUGCUUUUAUUUCUAUUGCCUUGGCAGACUGACCUAAGAAAACAUUGGUAAAAUUUGUAUCAGAGAAUGUUUUGCCUAUGUUCUCUUCUAGGUGUUUUAUGGUAUCUUGUCUUUUUGCCAUUUUGAGUUUAUUUUUGUGUAUGGCAUGAGGGUAUGUUCUAACCUCAUUGAUUUACAUGUGGCUAUCCAACUUUCCCAAUACCACUUGCUCAGAUACUGUCUUCUAUCCAUUCUAUAUUCUUGCCUUGUUUGUUGAAGAUUAAUUGUCCGUAGGUGUAUGGGUUUAUUUCUGAGCUCUCUCUCUUGUUCUGUUGAUCUGUAUGUCUAUUUUUGUGCAAGUACAAUGCAGUUUUGAUUACUGUAGCUUUGUAAUAUUGUCUAAAGUCUAGGAAGGUUAUGUCUCCUGCUUUUUUCUGUUCCCCCUCAGGACUAUUUUGGCAAUUCUGGGCCUUUUAUGGCUCCACAUAAAUUUUAGGAUUACUUGUUCUAUCUUUGUGAAAAAUAUCAUGGGUAAUUACACAGGGAUCACAUUACAUUUGUGAAUUGCUUUGGGUAAUAUGGCUAUUUUAGCAAUAGUAAUUCUUCCAAUUCAAUAGCAUGAGAUAUCUUUCCAUUUCUUUGAAUUAUCUUCAGUUUUCUUUAUUAAUGUUUUGAGGUUCUCAGCAUAUGUCUUUUACCUCCUUGUGAGAUUUAUUCCUAGGUAUUUUUUUUGUGUGUGUGAUUUUAAAAGGGAUUGUUUAUUACAUUCUCUGUAUUAGAUUUCAUUUUUAGUAUAAAGAAAUGCAACCAAUUUCUGUAAAUCUUAAAUCCUACUACCAUGCAGAAUUUAUUUAUCACUUCUAUUAGUUUUUGUGUAGAGUCUUGUGGGUUUUCUAUAUAUGAUAUCAUCUCAUCUGUGUGUAGUGACAGUUUUAUCCAGGUCUUUUAUUUACUUAAAAGUCUACUAAUUAUUUUGGUAUAAACUGCAAAAGCAGAUGGUUCUGCUAAUGAAGAACUUACAGACUUUGUGGGGGAGGUAAAAUGUAUAAAUGUAUAUGUACAAGAAAAAUUUGACACGGAGAAAUAGAAAUUACAAAUUGUAAAUUGCACAAGGAGGAACUGUUCCAGGAUUUUCCUAAUGGGAGGAGAAGAGAAUGGUCUAUAUAGUUUAACAGAAGUUUCCUAGAGAUUCUGUUUGACAUUCUUUCUUCCUUUUGGAAUUACUGUAUAAAAGGCAUGUUGGAUUUCACCAAGUACCAUAAGAUGAUAAACAGUUUGUAAAAAUAAGGACUAUUUGGAGAUACCAUUGAGAUAAAAUGAUAAAAAGCAAUAAUUUAGCUAGAGUCACCUAGCACUAGGGCCCAUUCAGGAUCUAAUGGAAGAGAUAGACACUGCAUUUAGGAAGGAACAAAUUGUAGCUAAUUAUAAAUGGGAGGGGAUUAAAGGUAGACUUGGGGGAAGGUAAGCAAUAUUAAGGAGAAGAAACCUAAGAAAUAGUCAUCGGAGCCAGUGUUUCUACAAAUCUUAUUGUGUGGUAGACACUGUCCUGAGCACUUCUGUCAUAUUCACUGAUUGAAUCCUUACAACUCUAUGAGAGAAAUAUUCCUAUCCUCAUUUUAUAGGCAAGGACACUAAAACAUAUAGUAAGUUAUUCAAGUUACAGAGGUAAGAGCAGUGGGGAUAGCAUUUGAACCUGGGUUGUGUGGCUCUGUAGCUUAUGUUUUUAGCAACUAAUUCUCAAGCAAUUCUAGAGUAAAUAAAAAGAACUCAGAACAGAUAAAAUCUAGAAGGUAAAGAAGAAGAAGUCAAGGCUGGUUCCUUCAUUUUAAUCCUAAAUGAUUAAAAGAAAUUUUGCAAUAAUGAUGGGAAAAAAGUGAGAUGGAAAGGAGGUAGUUUCAUUAUUUAGUUUUCUGGUUAUAUAAAGAUAUACAUGUAUAUAUAUACAUAUAUAUAUAUGCUUUUGUUUGUACAACCUAAUUUGCAUAUAGAUUUGGUAAAAUAUCAGUUGUUUAAGGAUCUCUAUUCUAACAUCUACUCUUACCCUCAUGAAAUACAUACUCCAUGGUAUCUUUGUGAUAAGACAAGUUUUCCUAUAAUCCAGGGGGUAUUUUAGAAAAUGAAGUUUAAGUUUCUUGUCCUAGUAUCUUUGUGUUUAUUUAUAACAGUGUGUUAUUUAUAGCAUUUAAUUUUGUCAUUGUCAUGCAGUGAUCUUGUGGGAGGGGGCUUUUCCUUUAACCAUUUUGGUAAUUUGAAAAUGAAUUAUUUUCAGAAAGCUUUCUGAGAAUUAAUUGGCAGGGAGCACUCCAUCCAUGUCUCUCAAGGUUGUGAGUUUUAAGGUAAAUGCAUUUUGGCUUGGCCCUUUUAUUCCAGUCUUGAGAAAUAAUUGUUAUAUAUGUAGUAUAAGUUUAAGAUAUAUGGCAUGAUGAUUUGAUUUAUAUAUAUUGUGAAAUGAUUACCAUAACAGGUUCAGCUAACAUCCAUCUUCUCAAUAGAU
rnacentral:lncRNA from 1 species